rnacentral:lncRNA from 1 species
UAAAACGCACAAAAACGAGCUCGAAAAGCAUCAACGCUACUCAUCGUGCCGAGUUUUCACAUAACGCCACCUAAAAGCAAGUUAUCGCAAGUUAACGCGCGUUAAAGCGAGUUAAAGCGGUCAGCGUCUGCUCGACUUUUGAACAAAGCGAAAUCGAUCUUGCAUCCCUGCUGUCAUAGCUCGAGCAGUUUUUCGAUCAAGUUUGGCAACUCGGUUUUUGUUUUCAUAAGUUUUCAAGCAGUUUCCGCAGAAAGAAAACAAAAACAAAGCAGGUCGCGAUUUUUUUGGUCAAAUGUCGGAAACUUUACGUGGGAUGAACGGCACCGGCGUUUUGCUACAACGAGGCAAGCAGCACCUGGACCCGAAAGUGUUCGGCAAGCUGCAACUGGGGGGAGAAAAAGUUCAAGUAUCUUAGCAACGCCCUGGGUGUCAUUCCGGUGUCGGCGCUCAAUCGAUGGAAGGCACCACAUCUGGGCAUUUUGGUGCGACUCCCCGGGAAGUGUAUUUUCUAACCAAGUCCAACAAUGAGCUGCGAGAGGAGAACCGAGAGUUUAAGGCGGCAGCUGUAGGGAGGAGUGUCCAACGAAACCGAUGGCACAGUGGACGGUGCCGUUCGGUGUUUUUUCCGGGCGUUUAAGCAAACUAGCUCCCAACAAAUGACGCCGACGAGCGGCUUAGGGUGUGCCUUGUCUGGACCACAACAUCGGCGAGUUCUGCUGUAACAUGUAUGGGAAACCGGUGCCGUUAGGGUGGAAAGAUUAAGGCCUGUGCCGAUGGAGUGGACAGGUCCAUUCAUAAGAGGAAAAUGCGCCACAGUUUGACACAUUUGGCGAGAAGAAGAGUAAUAAAGUUCUAGGUGGAGUUUCGGA